ensembl:lncRNA
CCGGGCGCGCCCCGCCGCACGCCGGGUUCCCCCGGUGCCCCCCGCGCCCCCCCGGUGCCGCCGGUGCCCCCGCCCCGCCCCGGGAGGAAGAACCGAAGGAGGUACCGGGACUCCCCCUGCCCUGGGACCCGCCGGGGGACGGGACCUGGAGCACUACCCCGCGGGGCGGCGAUGCGGAUGUGUUCCCGGCGUUGCCGCUGUCGGGAUGGCCCCGGGGGGACGGAGGGGUCUCGGGGGCCCCGACGGGCUUGGGCCGGUCUCGCCCCGUUUAGCUUGCAGAUAUUGGGAGUUUAAUGUUAUUUUUCUCCCCGAUCCCGGUGCGACCGCUGGGAACGGGAGCGGGGAUUUCUCGCGGGGAGCGCAGAUCCCGGGGAGAGAGGAGCAGACCCCACUGGAUCCAGGGUGCGGGAGCAGAGCCCCGUGGAUUCCCGGGCUCUGAGUGGACGAUCCAGCGGAAGCUGCGAGAAUUCUUUGCCAUCCCGCGGUGCCUGGUCAGCGUGUUCAGCCUGUUCCUGGUGGAGCUGAUCCGCUUCCUUGGCGAGGCCGUGGUCCAGGCACUGGUGGUCGGUGUCCUGACAGCCAUCGGCGACCAUGUCCUGAAGCCCUUCCUGGCGGCGGCGUUUCACAGCCUGCUGCAGCCGCUCCUGCUCUUCCUGCUGAAGGUGCUGGGUGGUGUCCGGGACCUGAUGGAUCCUGUGCUGGAUGUGGUGGCCCGGGUGUGCUCCCAGCUGGCCGUGCUGCUCCGCGCCGUCCGGUUGGUGGAGAUCCGUCUGCGCCCGGACCUACGGGCUGGCCCUGGUGACGGUGGCGGAUGAGUACAGGCUGUGGCUGGCCAGAUAAGAUAAGGAAGAAGAAUUCCUGGGAACUGCAGAAGAGCAGGACCAGCUGUGGCCCAGGAGGCACUGUUGUCUCCACGUGUAUCCAGGCAGGGGGCAGCACAUGGGAGGGCAGUUUGGAUCUUCUAGUUCUGCAAAUAUCUCCUUAACUUAAUUAAAUUCCAACUUUAUCCAUUGGAGCAUUGCUCCAGUGAGGUGUUUUUUCCUCUUCCUGCCUGGGAAACUGGGCUUCUCACUGACCAGAACUUCCCUGUGCAGUCUCUUGCCACCAGAUGGGCUCCACGGCUGGGGUGGUGCUCAGGGCCUGAGCCUCAAGCACUGCCAGGAGGGGACGGCUUCUGCCAGCUUCCAGCUCUCUGGGAUGGUCUCCAGAGCUGGUGGUAUGGGACAGACUGGGAUCUGGGGACAAUCGAAAAAUAGGAAUAACCACCUCAGUGUUCCUAACAACUGGUUCUCCUGCACAGUUUGGGUCGCGUAUUCCCGUCGGGAUGGGGUGGCCAAGGAACCGAACGGAGGCAGCAGAGCUCUGGAUGGGUUUUACAAACACUUGGAGGGGUCAGGGUUGGGACUGAGCUGUGUUUUGGGGCUCCCCCCGCCCCCAGCCUCUGCUCUCUCUGCCCUUUCGCCAUUCCAACAACGCUGCCUCCUGGGAGCGUCUCCCCUGGCUGGCACAAUCCCUGUGUUCCCGAUGAUUCCAUGCACAAAGCCCUUUGCUUUUUAUGGGCAGGAGCAGCAUGUUUGGAGCUUUCCAGGCUGUAAGAUCAUCCGCGGGCCCGCGCCGGGGCUGGAGCGCUCCUGCUGGGGGCCAGGCUGGCCGGGCUAUUUGGGGGGUGCUGAGUUCACGGAGCCGUGACAGGAUGUUCCCUGGGCGCUGCGAGGGGCCGGGAGCUGGGAGCCAGCCCCAAGGAGCUCCCCGGGCUCGGGUGACC